AUUGAACGCUGGCGGCAGGCCUAACACAUGCAAGUCGAACGAGUGGCGGACGGGUGAGUAAUGUAUGGGAAACUGCCUGAUGGCGGGGGAUAACUACUGGAAACGGUAGCUAAUACCGCAUACCAUCGGAUGUGCCCAGAUGGGAUGAGCUAGUAGGGGGGGUAACGGCUCCCCUAGGCGAAGGUCCCUAGCUGGUCUGAGAGGAUGACCAGCCACACUGGAACGGAGACACGGUCCAGACUCCUACGUGAGGCAGCAGUGGGGAAUAUUGCACAAUGGGCGCAAGCCUGAUGCAGCCAUGCCGCGUGUAUGAAGAAGGCCUUCGGGUUGUAAAGUACUUUCAGCGGGGAGGCGUUACCCGCAGAAGAAGCACCGGCUAACUCCGUGCCAGCCGCCGCGGUAAUUC
rnacentral:rRNA from 1 species